CCAUGAAAAUAUCUUCUUCCUACUAGCCCCCAUGUAUAUAAAACUCCACGAAGUAAAGUUUAACCAUUCUCCUAAUUUUGCAACAGUUUCCAUCGCAACUUUCUCGUCAUGAAACUCUUCCUUGUUGCUAUCACUCUACUUGUACUGUCACGUGGUCAAACAGAAGCCCACGUGUGUUGUGGUGAAGUGCUGGGGGAAUGUGCUGGGGUUGGUUGUGACUACGAGUGUUGUAACUGUGAUGUGUGCGUUAACCAUGAGGUGGACACAGCUCUACAGAACUUAGGACAUUGCAAGUGGUUAAAGUGUGCAACAAAGAUUGCCAUGUGCGCAGCAGAGUGUUGUGGAGGUGAGUGCACUGUCAGCGCUACUUGUGUCACAUGUCUUGGGAGCUUCUACGAGGACUGCAAGGGGUGCUGGUCUAAAGAAUUCUUAAAUUGAUCAAUGCUAAAGGUGGACUGCAGAUGGACUUAAUUGUAUAGACUAGUGUUGUAU